UUUGUAAUUGCUGUCUAUUUUCUAGAUUGCGGAUGUAUGGUCCUGUGGUGUGACAUUGUACGUGAUGUUGGUGGGAGCUUAUCAUAUUGACUUAAUUGGAUUUUUGUUCAUACAAUGCUACUAAAUGCUCUUGAGGAGAUGAAAAAGGUUGGCUUUUGGAUAUGCUCAUGAAGAUGACUUCAGUUUGACACAAAUUGCAGCUUUAGUCUAUGUUUUUGUUUGGAAAGAGUACUUUGUUUUUUUGGAUGCGUAAUGGCUAUUACUAGUUGAACUAAUGUGAAUUUAGUACUCUAUUGUUUGGAUGGAUAAUGGCUGUUAGUACUUCAACUAAUGUGGGCUUUGGAACCCAUUUUGGUUAA